AGUGAACGCUGGCGGUAGGCCUAACACAUGCAAGUCGAACGGCAGCACAGAGGAGCUUGCUCCUUGGGUGGCGAGUGGCGGACGGGUGAGGAAUACAUCGGAAUCUACUCUGUCGUGGGGGAUAACGUAGGGAAACUUACGCUAAUACCGCAUACGACCUACGGGUGAAAGCAGGGGAUCUUCGGACCUUGCGCGAUUGAAUGAGCCGAUGUCGGAUUAGCUAGUUGGCGGGGUAAAGGCCCACCAAGGCGACGAUCCGUGGCUGGUCUGAGAGGAUGAUCAGCCACACUGGAACUGAGACACGGUCCAGCCUACUACGGGAGGCAGCAGUGGGGAAUAUUGGACAAUGGGCGCAAGCCUGAUCCAGCCAUACCGCGUGGGUGAAGAAGGCCUUCGGGUUGUAAAGCCCUUUUGUUGGGAAAGAAAUCCAUCUGGUUAAUACCCGGGUGGGAUGACGGUACCCAAAGAAUAAGCACCGGCUAACUUCGUGCCAGCCGCCGCCGUAA
rnacentral:rRNA from 1 species